rnacentral:sRNA from 1 species
UCUAUUCAGUACACAUGGGUUGUCCCACCUGCCCUUUUCAUUUAUACCCUGUACUCUGUAAAAAGCACCCUCAUUAUCUAGGCCUCCACUAACUAGCACUUUUUUUCUCUUCCACUUCCUCCUCCUCCUCUUCCUCUCCCUCCUCCUCCUUUUAUUUUAUUAUUUAACUUAUUAUUUAUUUUGGAGGCAGAGUUUCUCUGUGUAGUUCUGGCUGUCCUGGAAUGCACAAUGUAGACCAGGCUGACCUCCAACUCAGAGAUCUACUCACUUCUGCCUUCUGAGUGCUGGGAUCAGAGGUGUGUGUCACCAUGCCUAGUGGCUAGCAGUUUUUUAAUCUUUGUAGUUUACCAACAAAAUGGUAGCCAUGAGAGAUUUUGCCAGCCUUCCACUAGCCACAGGUGCAGCUUGUUUUGCAGGGAGUUGGGCCCUAGCAGUUGUCACAUAGAAACCUCUUACGCUUGGCCGGUUGGGGGCAAAUGACGUCUUGGUGGUUUUCUUUUUCUUUUUUUUUCUUUUUUUAGCUUGCAUCUCUUUUACAAGAAGUGUGCCGGAGGAGCUGUUCAGACAUGUAAGACAACUCAAUCUCAUUUCAGUGGCUUGCUUUGGGCAAUUAUUUUCAAAGUCUACAGGAAAGAACGUGCUUUAUUCUAAUUUUCAAUCUGUCUCAGAGCCAUAUCUUUUUUAGUAAAAUACAAUAAAAAAAAAAAAAAAGGAUCACUAGCGAAAUGAAAUAAAAACCCAAAGAUACGUAAAACAGAAGCCUCAGUUUUCUUUAUGACUCAGCCUGACAGAUACAAAAUUGCUCUGGCCACUUGUAGAUAUGCGUUUGCGUCUCCUGAGCUGGGCUGGCGCUAAGGCUUUCAAGUGACAUUAAAGUACCACUCACUCCUCCUUCCCUUUCUUCUCCACCACCAUGAUCCUUGGCAUGAGGGGAGCCGACGCAGAGCCUUAGAUUUCUUUUACAAUCCACACAUUGCUGGUUUUCUUUUGCCAUAUUUAAUGUCUCUAAUGGUACCACCUUGCUCUGGAAGUAUGUGGUUCCUAGAGGUGGGAAGGCAGCUAAUACUCAGCAUAGUGACUCUCUCCUCCUGACGCUGGGAGGAGGGGAGAGCGGGACGACAGGCUGACAUCGAGGGAAGAUGAUAUGGCCGUGCGCUAAAGUUGUGUGGAGCCGCCUUCGAGGCGUGGCGAGGACCCCGUCCCUAAUACCACCUCUUGGGAAAGAAAUGAGAUGAGAGCAGAUGGGGAAAGUCGGAGCCAAAGGAGCCUCAUCCUGUGGAGGGAUCUCGGGGCUGUGGAUCGCCAGUGCCGUUCUUGUUUCUGGUUCCCUGCAGUCAGUGGCUGGGUGGCUGUUUUGUCCUCCUCCUCCACUCUUGGCUGCAAAACAGACAUGGACUCUGCCGUUUCCCCUAUGCUCCUGAAUUGAAGUUCACUUCUGCGUGAGGGCUUUGUAGAGCUGUUUUUGACUUUCAUCAGCCAGGGCACCCAGCAAGUGUCCUUCACUGGGUAUGGGCGCUCCGUGCCGCUGAGUAGCCAGCUGUCCUGGGAGUGGACGCUGGGCUUUCGCUGAACAGCGUUACAUGAGACCAUGCUAGGCUUCUGAGUAACCUCACCCCUUCCAGAGUCACAUAACUGACAGGAACUCAUGCUGUCAUGCAUCUGUCAUGCUGUGCCUUCUUGUGCAUGGCUGGCUUCCUGUUGAAGCCCAGAGAAGUGCUGAGAAAUGGUUCUCUGACCCGGAGCUGGGGUUGAGGAGUUUGGCGGUCACUGAGCUCUGCCUCAGCUCAGACCUCAUCUGGCUUCAUCCCGCUCACCCUUCCUUCGCCUGUGAGGCGGGGACAGGGCAUGCCCAUUGGUGAUUUAUUGGCAGGGAGAGUCAGGUUCAGUGUUGCUCAGGGGUACGGGAGCUCUGUGGUGAUGUUUGCUAGCUCAUAACCAGGACGGCCAUUCAUAACUCUCAGGGAUAUGCCGGAUAUGCCCAGUCAGCAGCCAGAAAACACUCCUGGCUAUCUGCCUGCUCCCUCCACUCACAGCUAAGGAGUUACUAAAAAUGUGAACGAAGCACUCUCUGGCCUGACUCGCGGUCUGCGGCUGAUUCUGGAGACAGAUGUUUGGGUCCCUGGCUCUGCCCUUACUGGCUCAGUGAGCUUGGCAGUCCUCCCUCAACAUCUCCCUGUGUAAGAUAGAAGGACUUUGCUUUGGGUCUGUGGGUGAGAUUACAUGAGCACGCAGACGUGCAUCUUGGAGACCUAAGUACAUACGUACCAUUUGCCAGCCUUCACCAUUUCCCCAGGUUUGUUCAGUGGGCAGCUGUGUCAAGUUCUUUUCACAGAAGGUGCUGCUACGGUAUAGCAUACGGCUCAGACAUAAUCACUUCCUGAGGAGACUCUGGAUCUGUAGCGCUGGUGGGUUUUUCUGUAGAGGAUUAGAUAGUAAACAGUUUAGAUUUUGUGGGUCACAUCUCUGCAAACAAGUCCAUGAUCCAAUUGUUCUCUUGGAACGUAAUUGCCAUGAACACCCGACCGGUCACAGCUGUAUUCCAGUUAAAGUUUAUUAAAAAACAUCUGGAAGCACAGAGCAGGUCUGAGGGCUGUAAUUUGCACACAUGCACCUAGUAGGGUGACGUGUCAACUAAUAAGUUACUCUGUUACAAAUCGGGAUAAAUGUCAAAAGGAAACAUACAGGAAAGGUCUGUGGUCUCAGUUAGGGUCUUACUGCUGGGAAGAGUAAGUUGUCACGACCAAGGCAACCCUCUGGCUUACAGGUUCAAAGGUUCAGUCCAUUGUCAUUAAGGCAGGAACAUGGCAGCAUCCAGGCAGGCAUGAUGCAGGAGGAGCUGACAGUUCAACAUCUUGUUCUGAAGGCCAAUGGAUUGAAAGCAGGCUGGCUACCAGGUAUGAGGGUCUUAAAGCCCAAGCCCACAGUGACACACCUACUUCAACAAGGCCACACCUCCAAAUAGUGCCAUUCCCUGAGCCAAGCAUAUUCAAACCAUGACAGUCUGUGAGGAGGAAGGUCAAGGAAUAAGUGACGUUGAAUCCACAGAGUGAGGUGGAGACAGCUGGAGAGGGAAAGACAGGGAUGGGACCAUGGCCUAGACAGUUCCCUGCCAGGGUCUCAGCCCCAUCUGCUCUUGCAUGGUUUGAAGGCACAGUAGAUGCACUUCAGUUUGCAUAUGCCUUUGUUCUCUCUAAACCAACUCCAGGUUCCCCUGACCCCUUCUUCCCUCCUAGUGCCAUCACAGAGAGGUGAGCUGUAUAGACAGACUAAGACACUUGUGUUCUUCCUACCCCUGGUCACCACACCCUUGAGCUCUGUGUUCCCUUCUUUGUCACAUUGCUUAUAAUAGCUAGGCAGGAAUUUAGAAGUUGGAGUGGGUAGGACUGCAUCUUAUUCUAUUAUUUACUGUUCACUGAUCCGCUCCUUAAAAAUCAGUUCUCAUUUUGCCUUUGAAAAUUUAACAUAAUUUUAUUACUUGGGUAAAGGCUCGGAUACAAAUGAUGGAAAGCCUAUUUUUCCUCUGAUGUCCUGUUCCUGUCAGCUCCAUGGGUUCGUUUCUUUGAAGCAGGUUGUGUGUCCUAUAACAAUUUUCUUUAUUUCAUUUUACCCAGGUGUAUGGUUGUGUGCUAGCAUGUACGUCUGCACCAGGUAUUGAAUACAAGGGCUCGACGGACUUCAUUCACCCUGUCUUCAGAAGGAGAAGAGUGGGAGCACAUAGCAGGCACAAACAGGGGCACGUGUUCUGUUGACUGAAGAAAUGACAUUUCCAGGGAUGUCCUAGGUACGAGAAACUUCUAACUGGCCUCACAUGCUUAUGUAAUGGCUGCAUUUGCCAGGCUCCCUUGCAGCUAUGUGGCUCCAUGACUUUCAUUUUGGCCAGAGGGAUUAUAAGCAAAAAUAUCCUUUGUAGUUCUUAAGAGCCUCCUGGUAAGGGGAGCCACCCAUUCAUUUCCCCCCUUUGCUGUGACAGGGAUUAUUCAGUGGCAGGAGCUAGAUUAGUCAUCUGGCUCUUGCUCACAGCAAAGUGACAAGUUAGGAAGACUCUGUGGCCACAGCACUGUGGGUUGUUGCACCAGACCUGCACUGCACCAUCUUGGACACUGAUAUGAAAGAGUCAAAUGGAUUUCCAUUCUGUGAAGUCGCACAUAUGAGUUAGGUCUUCGUUACGCUCUGUAUCCACCUGCAUGAGUACGUCUAUGUAUGUCUAAGUAGAUUUGCAGGAUUGAGGGACAUGGUUGUUUAAAUUCUCUGUUGCUCCUGCCUAAUUAACCUUUAAGGACCCACCGUCACUCUAUCAUGUUAGGUGCCUUUGUGUGUGCCACCAUACCAUGGAUGCAUUUACGUUUAAUGGAGAUAACCCCUUACUCUGUUGAAGAGAUACAAAGAUUCAUGUUACCAAAAGAAAACGUUAGAAGGUAAAAGCAAGACUUUAGUUCCAAAUGUCAA